ensembl:lncRNA
ACCCUCCCUACCCCCCAGCAUUAGGUUGAGACUGUGGGGAAGUGCUGGGGGUUGGGAGGUAGCCGAGGAAUGGGGCAGUUCCCGGGGGCAUUGAAACCAAGUAUUAUUAUGAAUUGUAAUUGUAUUUGCACUGUUUUUUUUCUCUGAUUGCAUCAGCAUAUAUACAAUAUACCUAUAUAACAAAAUUCAGUGUCAAGCUUUCUUAUGCAAGGGAUUUCCCCACCCCAAAAAAAUAACCUAGUUUCAUGGGCCUUUGAGGGUGGAUUAUCAGGGGAUGAUAGAAAUAAUUUCAACAAGUCAUCCUAAGAAAGUCUCCCUUAGGGGAGAGCCAUAUCCAUCUGUGCACAGUUUUAGGGUUUGCAAAUUGGGGUGAGGCUGGGUUACUGCAAAAGCUGAGACUCCUAGUCCAGACUGUGGAGAGUAAAGAGAACCACAGCAUAAAGCGGGUGGGAUGGUGUCACAGUCUGGAGACCCGGGGUUUAGUCUCAAGCUUUCCUGCUGACUUGUUAUGUGACCUUCUUGAUAGAGCUGAUUUUUGGGAUCUCAGUUUUAUUUGUGAAGUGAUGGCAGGAGGGGAGAUCCUCUAGCCACCAAGUUUGUAAAGCUUUCUUCCCCACCUGAAAACAAAACAAGUUGAGGGGAGGAAAGUGUUGGGCUGAAAAACCAGGGAGGAAACCAGAGUGGCUAGUGUUGAAGUGGGUAUGUGUGUGACGGUGCCCUUGGAGAGCUGCCAGGCCCCUGCUGUUCCUUUUGGUUUAGGAAGGGCAGCAGAGUGAUGUUUCGAACUUCACUUAAAUCUGGGACAUACUUGCCCUCAUGCUCUAGUUACCCAAGGGCAGGAACCAGGCCCCAAGCCCCACCUCACAAGCAACUGCCCUCAAGGGUGGUUGACCAAUGAAUACCCCAGGUUGGUGGUCACUCACACCCUUUGUGAGCUACAGAAUGCAGAUUUUUCCCCCAUUUCUUGGUUGGAGAGCUCAGAUACAGUCCACAUCUUGUCUCCUUCCCUCAGAUAUCAUCUGAACCCCCUUAAAGGCAGCUCUCUCAACAGCUAUUUCCUUCAGGGGCCCAGUUCCCCCACAGCCUGGGCUGAGUACUCCCACUGUAGGUUCUUGGCUGGUAAAGCCUGGAGAGGAUAUAGGAUGGUGGGGAAGCCCUGGUGAAGGUGGAAGGAUAGAUUGGUGGUGGG